AUUAAGCAGCUAACCUGGCCUGUGUAAAUCCCAUCCAUUAGUUUGGAGCGCUGGAACCCAAAGCUGUUACAUUGAUACAGUUCAUAGAGUAGACCUCCUUUGUAACACUGCUAAUUGUGGAACAAAACACAGUCCUGUCAGUGUGGAUUAUUAGUAGGUGCUAAUAAAUGAUAACUGUUAUCUUUAGGCUACUUAAAAUUUAGGAAGUCAGUUUAUCUGAGUUAUAUGAGGGUGUAUGUUAUUACUAUUAUUUUUUAAACGUUUAUUUAGAGAGCACGAGCGUGAGCAAUGGGAAGGGCAGAGAGAAAGGGAGAGAGAGAAUCCCAACCAGGCUCCACUGUCAACACAGAGCUCGACACGGGGCUCAAUCUCACAACCCUAAGAUCAUGAUUUGAGCCAUAAUCAAGAGUCAGACACUUAACUGACUGAACUACCCAGGCACCACAAGAUUUUAUUUUUAAGUAAUCUCCACACCCAAUGGGGGCUCGAACUCACAAUCCCGAGGUCAAGAGCCACAUACUCCAUGGACUGAACCAACCAGGCACCUCUAUGAGGGUGUCUGUCAUAUAGUGUUAGCGCCCUGGGACCAGACUGCCUCAGUCUGGUCACUAGCUGGGUGACUGAGCAGGUUAAUCUACACCCCUCCCCUGCAUUCUUCCAUCUGAACAAAUGGGAUUGGUUGAUAAUAGGAUCUACCUCACAGGGGGGUUGUGAGGGUUAAAACGCGUUAGUCCAGGUAAAAUGUUUGAAACAUAGUAAGCUUUUGUUAGCUAUCAUCAUCAUCAUCAUCAUUAUAGCCAAUCUUUGUCAGUCAGGUUAACAUAUCAACAUACUCCUGCCCGAAAGGAUCGCCAGUCCCUGAAGACUGUGGAGAGUUCUGGAUGUAGAGGUGAGGGAGACCUGGCUCAUUCUAUCACUGGCUUUGUAACCAUGGGCAAAUCCCAAAAUACCCUCUUAGCCUUACUUUCUUCUUCCUAUAUUAAAAAAAUAAAUACAAAGGCCAAACUUCAAAAAAGAUACCCUUUGUUUUUUUAUUUUAUUUUAGUGUGAGCAUGGGGCAGAAGGGGAGAGAGAAAGAGAGAAAGGACCUGAAGCAGCCUUCAUGCUCAACAUGGAGCCGGACACAGGGCUUGAUCCCACGACCCUGGGAUCAUGACCAGCUGAAAUCAAGAGUCAGAUGCUUGACUGGCUGAGCCACCCAGGUACCCCUGUUUUUUUUUUUUUUUUUUUUAAUGAUGCCCUAGGUCCCAAAGUUUCCUUCAAGGAAGUGAGGCUGUGGAUGAUGCCAUCACAAGAAGUGAGGAUUCUGCCAGGUACAAGGAGUCUGCCACUCUCUUGUUUAAAAAAGAAAACAUCCACAUUCUGUACACAUAAUUUAAAGAAGGGCUUUCAAACAUUUUUUUACCGUGAUUCACAAAGCUGUGCACACCCACUGACAUGUACGUAAAGCGAUAUUCUGUGAAACUGUUUGUUUAUGUGAAAAAACAGUAUUGACUUGCUCACCAACUUUCUAUUCUAUUUCAUUUAUUUAAAUUCCGGUUGUGAUCCCCCCUAUUGAUUUCACAACCCUGUAAAAUACUGCGGUGCAACAGCACUUUCUGUGAAGUUGGCAAUGUCCUGGAUCUCUCCUAUCCCUUACAGUAGCCACUAGCCACGUGUGGCUGCUUAGCAUUUGAAAGGGGUUAGUGUGACUGAGGAACUGAAUCUCUAAUUUCAUUCUCCUGUUAGCACACCUCUAGGGAAUUUGCAAGCCACUUUUGGAAAGCAUAGGUUUAAAGCCCACUACCCUACCAAGUUUGUGAAAGAAAGCCAUCCCCUGCCCUCAUUCCUCCUGCUUCCUCUACCUCAGAGGCAACCACUUUUUAAAAAAUGAUGUCAUUUUAGGGAAAGAGGGAGGGAGGGAGACAGAAUCUUAAGCAGGCUUCACACUCAGCAUGGAGCCCAACUUGGAACUUGAUCCCACGACUCUGGGAUUAUGACCUGAGCCGAAAUCAAGAGUCGGAAGCUCAAUCAAGCGAGGCACCCAGGCAGCCCAUCCACUUUUGACUCUUAGUGGAUUGUUUUGGUAUUUACUGACUUGUAUCUAAAUAACGUGCGUGUGUUGCUACCUCUCUGCUUUGUCCUUAUCCAUUGACCUCGCGAUACAGGGGCACACUUCCCAUCCUGUCAGUAUAGAAGUGUAAUCAAAUCAGUAAGUUUCAGUUAGAAUAACUAUGCUAGUCAAGGCUGAAACGUGUGGAGGAAAGCUAUGAUGAAUUCUCCUUUCCUGCACUUUGAACCCCAUAGUGCUCAUAAGAAGUCUCUCAUGCGUUUGCUUGGUUUUCUAAGGAUUUAACCCCAGUCUCUCCACCAAGCGUCCAUAUAUCUCCUUUCAAUGUUUGCAGACAAUAAGAAUUCGAACAAUUUUUCAUCCCUGGAAGAAGUAUCUCCUAGAACCUUCCGACCAAUUUCAAGCUAGAUCGUUCACCUUCCUUUACCUUAAGACUAUCCCUCCAUUAACUUAGAAUCUAACUUCACUAUCAUCCUGAGAGUUCCCGUCACCUUUAAUCACAGGUUGCACCUCCUGUUUCCUGUAUCCCAUGUCUUUUUCUUUGGAUUAUUUCCUCUUUUUGAUGGAACACAUCCCACAGUAGCUUACUGAGAAGGGAUAUAUGGGAGGUACAUUUGAGACCUUCAAUUGAUCAUUUGCUUGGGUGUAGAAUUCUAGAUAGAACAUGUCCCCUCCCUGUUGAAAACAUUAUUCCACUGACAUUAAGCUUCCAGUAUUACUGUGGCAGUUCAAGGGCAUUCUGAUUUCUCCCACCCCUUCCCUAAGACUUGAUUUUUUUCCCCCCAGAAGCUCAUAAAAUCUCCAUGUUCUCUGUAAUCUCAUGACUGAGCUUUGCUGUAUGUUUUCAUCCAUUGUGCUAGGGCCAUUUCAACCCAGAAACUCAUGUACAUCUGUUCUGGGAAAUUUUCCCGAGUUAUUUCAUUGACUUCUUUCCAUUUUCAUUGUUCUCUCUCUCACGUCUGUUGUUCAAAUGGUGAAUCACUUGGGCUGAUCCUUUAAUAUUCUUUGUGUUCCUAUUUUUCAUCUUUUAAAAAAUUCUGUCUGGGAGAUUUCCUCUCUUGGCUCUUUCAAACUCCUGAUUUUUUUUUUUUAUUUCUGGUAUUGUGUUUAUGAUUUCUUUUUUUUUUUUCAAACAAAGACAUAUUUAAUGAUAAACACAGUUCACUAUCAGUAAAUGGCUAUUCUUUUGGUUUUGGUUUUAGUUUUUUUUUUUAAUUUUAUUUAAAUCCAAGUUAGUUAACAUAUAGUGUAGUAACGGUUUCAAGAGUCGAAUUUAGUGAUUCAUCAUUUACAUACAACACCCAGUGUUCAUCACAAGUGCCCUCCUUAAAUGCCCAUCACCCAUUUAGCCCAUCUCCCCACACACCUCCCCUCCAGCAUCCCUCAGUUUGUUCUCUGUAUAUAAGGGUCUCUUGUGCCUCAGUCGGUUGGGCAUCUGACUUCACUCAGGUCAUGAUCUCACAGAUUGUGAGUUUGAGCCCCGUGUCAGGCCCUGUGCUGACAGCCCAGAGCCGGGAGCCUGCUUCAGACUCUGUGUCUCCCUCUCUCUCUGCACCUUCACCACUUGUGCUAUCUCUCUCUUCUUCAAAAAUAAAGAAACAUCAAAACAUUUUUUUAGAAAGAGUCUCUUAUGGUUUGCCUCCCUCUCAUUUUUUAUCCUACUCAGUGGAAAAAAAGAAUGAAAUCUUGCUGUUUGCAACAACAUGGAUGGAACUAGAGUGUAUUAUGCUAAGUGAAAUAAGUCAGUCAGAGAAAGACAAAUAUAUGAUCUCACUCAUAUAUGGAAUUUAAGAAACAAAACAGAUGAACAUAGAGGAAGGGAAUAAAAAAUAACAUGUUAACAAUUUCUAAGAGCUGGAGUUUUUUGUUUGUUUUUUAUACAUUCCUUUUUUGAAGCUUUCUGUUAGUGAAUGGUAGGGUUUUUUUUUUUUUAAGUUUUUAAGCUUUCUGUAUUCUGCAGAGCCAGUUUACAACUACUUGCUUUUUCCUGCUUGAUGCUUGAUUUUUUCUCUGUUCUUUAAAGGUUUGACAAUUCUUGCCUGUUCAUUUAAGAAGAAAGUACUAGAGGGGCGCCUGGGUGGCUCAGUUGGUUAAGCGCCCGACUUCGGCUCAGGUCAUGAUCUCACAGUCUGUGGGUUCCAGCCUCAUGCUGGGCUGUGUGCUGACAGCUCAGAGCCUGGAGUCUCCUUCGGAUUCUGGGUCUCCCUCUAUCUCGACUUACUCUCUGCUCUCCCUCCCCUGCUCGCACUUUGUCUCUGUCUCUCUCUCCAAAAUAAAUAAACAUUUUUUAAAAAAUUAAAAAAAAAAAAAAGAAAGUACUAGAAAGCUGACUGGAAGGUCUGAAAGUGUGGGUGGAGCUCAUGAAAAGAGUUUUGCUAUCAGGUGAUUUUGGCCGCGCCAUUUGGCAAACCCCAUGUCAGUAUCUUCGGAGUUCUCCUCUAGGGCCAGCCCCCUUCAGAGAAGUCUCUUCCAAUCUCUUGUAUGGAGGGUUAACCUUGAAUGACCAGUGUUCUGGGGGAACAUGUACAAGGAGGUUGGGGGUCGGUGGUUUCUACAUUCAUCACACAUACCAUUGCUUAAUUACCCUGUUUUCUGCACAGUUCCCCUGUGCUGUGCCCAAUGUCUGCUGUUUUUUCUGCUUCAGUGUUCUGCUGUGGUGAGAUGAGGGACAGCCAUCAGCCCCGUGGUAUGGAUGAGGCAAGUGGUUGAUGGAUGUGGUUUUAUUUUGUUUCAUUUCUUUAAAAAAAAAACAAAAAACAAAACAGCUGCCCCAGGCUUUGGCCUGCUAUAACAGAAUACUGUAGGCUAUGUGGCGUAAACAAACAUUUAUCACAGUUCUGGCGGUUAGAGGUCUGAGAUCAGGGGGCCCAUAGUGUUGGGUUCUUGGUGAGGGCCCCCUUCCUGAUUUACAGACAGCCGGCCUCUUGCUAUGUCCUCAUGAGGCAGACAGCAGAGAAAGCAAUGUCUGUGUCUUCUUAUAAGGGCGCUAAUCGUAUUCAUGAUGGCUGCAUUCUCAUGACCUCUUCACUUCCCAAAGGCCCCAUCUCCUAGUACCAUCACAUUGGGGGUUAGGAUUUCAACAUAUGAAUUUGGCAGGGAAGACACAAACGUUUAGUCCGUAACAGCAGCUUUUACCCAGUCCUUAUUUUGGCUCCACCCUCUUUACCUCCACUUUUAUUUUUAUUUACUUAUUUAUUUUUAAAUGUUUCUUUAUUUUUGAGAGACAAAGGGUGCAAGUGGGAGAGGGGCAGAGAAAGAGGGAGACAGAGGAUCCGAGGCAGGCUCCGAGCUGUCAGCACAGAGCUCCACAUGGGGCUUGAACUCAACGAACCGCGAGAUCAUGAUCUGAGCCCAAGACAGACGCUUAGCUGACUGAGUCACCCAGGCGCUCCUACCUCCACUUUUAGAAGCACCCGGUGCUGCCAUUUCUGGAGCCUUUUGGACAUUUUAUGAUAUAUAAAUUAGAUUGGUUCUGUUUUCCCUACUACGCACUUAGGAUUCUGUUAAGAUUUGACUUUCCAUCAGCCUCUGGCUUCCAAAACAUUGUUAUUGUUGCCAUUUCUAUUUUCCCUGUCCUCAUGGGUUUGCACCUUUACCAGAUUUUAUUUACAGUAGUUUUAGUGGGUUUUCUUUCUGGAAUUCCUUUGUUGUUUACCCAGAAAUCACCCCAAAGUUUAUCAAAUACGAUGAAGUCUAUAUCUAAGUUACGAAGAAGUUCUUAGCUACACACCAGAAUAGCUACACUUAGAAAAACUGACAAUACUAAGGGAUGGUGAAAAUGUGCAAUAAAGUAUCUGAAUUCUCAUACAUUGCUGGAGGGAGUAGAAAUUGGUACAACCGUUUUGGAAAGCUAUUUGACCAUAAAACUAAAUAUACAUUUAACCAAUGACCCAGCCAUCCCACUCCUAGGGAUGUACCCAAGAGAAAUAAGUACUUUUGUCCACAUACAAGAAUGAUUUGUAGCAGCACUAUUCAUAAUGACCUAAAACUGGAAACAACUAAAAUAUCCAUUAUUGGGAGAAAUUGUGGUAGAUAUAUCCAUACAAGGAAAUACUACAGAGCAGAUAAAAAAAAAAUUAACUACUGCUACAUGCAUACAGAUAGAUAAAUCUCGCAAAUAAUGAUGUUGUAUGAAGGGAGCUAGUCACAAAAGAGUACUUUAUGAUUCCGUUUAUAUGAAGUUCAGGAGCAGGCAAAACAGACCUAUGGUGAUGGAAUCCAGAAUAAUGGUUUUUCUCUGAAGGGGAUGGUAUUAUUGCCUGGAAAGCAGCAUGAGAGAAUCUUCAGGUCUGCUGGAAAUGUCCUGUAUCUUUGUUUCCUAACAUUUGUUUUUGGGGUUUUUUUUGAGAGACAGAGAGAGGCAGAGCAUGAGCAGGGGAGGGGCAGAGAGAGAGACACACACAGAAUCCAAAACAGGCUCCAGGCUCUGAGCUGUCAGCACAGAGCCCGACGCGGGGCUCGAACCCACGAACUGUGAGAUUAUGACCUGAGCCGCAGUCGGAUGCUUAACCAACUGAGCCACCCAGGAGCUGCAUCCUGUAUCUUUUUUAUAGGAGUAUCCUGUGUAGAGUUGGAUGUGCCUGGCCCGGGCAGGAAAGAUGGGUGCUAUAGUGAAGAAGGUGAAGGGUGGGUGUAUUUGCAUAUAUCGAGGGAGAAAAGGAUGAACCAACUCGGUUCAUCAUAUUCCAUCUGAAAUGUGCUAAUCCUCCAACUGCUCACUCUUUGGAACAAGUGUGUGUAAUUAAUGGUGCAGGAGGGUCCAAGGCUCGUGUGAUGAAGAACAUCUUUGCAGGCCUGAUUGGAAAGAAGCGGGCUUAGACAGCUGUGAUGUAAAGGACCAAGACAACGUGCCUAAAAUUAAACACUAAAUGCAGAUUAGCCAUAUUUCUUUUUUUAUGUUUAUUUGAGAGAGAGAGAGAGAGAGAGAGAAGAUAGGGGAAGGGCAGAGAGAGAGGGAGACACAGAAUUCGAAGGAGACUCCAGGCUCUGAGCUGUCAGCAUAAAGCCUGACACGGGGCUCGAACCCACGAACCGCAAGACAGUUGGACACUUAACUGACUGAGCCACCCAGGUGCCCCAGAUUAGCUACAUUUCAAUGUUUGCACCCACUUGUAGUUUCACUUGGGCUUAGUUUUUGGGAGAUUCUCUCUUCCCGCUAUUACCCCAGAUCAGACCCUCACUCCUUUUCACCUAGAAUUACUACACUGACCUCCUAACUAGUUUCGUGGCAAGUCUAUCUAUUCCUUCCAUCAGUUUACUCCAUCUUGUAUAUAAACCCACCAGACUGACUUUGCUAAGAUACUGCCUUGUUGAUGCUAUUCUGAUUUAAAUCAAAAUGUCAUCUUGGUAUUCAAGUCCCUGGAUGGAGAGAUCUCUCUACCUAUCUUACCUCAUUUCUCCAGCAGGGAUCCUCCAUUCAAUUCACUUCUGUAUUCUCCAGUAUGUCAAGCUCAUCCCUUCAGGUGGUUCUUCACCCUGGCUGCACUUAAGAAUCACAUGGGAAGGGGGUGCCUGGGUGGCUCAGUCGGUUACGAAUCCGACUCUUGAUUUCAGCUCAGGUCAUGAUCUCAUGGUCUGUGAGUUCCAGCUCCACACAGAGCCUGCUGGGAUUCUCUGUCCCCCUCUCUGUCUGCUCCUCUCCCACUUACAUGCUCUCUUUCAAAAAUAAACAUUUUUUUAAAUAAUCAUAUGGGAAGAUUAACAAUAUCAACAACAAAAACCCAAACAAACAGAAAGCACCUCUUUUUCGGACUAAACCAAAAAUGAAUUCACAUAAGAGAGAACAAUCUUCAUAGGUUACCAAGGAAGGAGGCUCCUGGUUAAACGUUGGCUCCCAUAACCCACUCUUAUUUGUCUGAGAUUGGUAUUUCUUUUGCUUUGGCAGACUAUUUCCUUUGACACUUGAAACCCUGAGAGAUUCCCGAGAGAAUGAGAUCUACAAGCAGGAUGUUUCUUGGGAGACAUUCCUGAAGGGUGGCAAGGAUCAGAAACAGGCUCCAGUGGUGAGGCCACUCAACAUCAACUCAACUCAACCUAAUUUGUAUUUUUGCUUUGGAGUGGUAAGGAAUCAAUCAAACAACAAAGGUCAAGAGACUCCUGUGUCUUGUAUCUCUCCAGAGAGACUUCUGCAGCAGAAAUCUGAAAACGAUUUCUUUCAAAGUCAGCAUCUAAUUAUAAGUCAAGCUGCUCCUACUCACUGGGGCCCGAUUCCAGUGAUUCCUAAAUGUUCCCAGAUCAUCUUCCAGCUCAGAGGCCCGCCCUGAAAUCCCUCAUGACGGAGGGGUGAAGGGAGGUGAGUCCUGUCGUUUUGCUUGCCCAUAUGUUGUGGAUAUUGCUUCCCACUUGGAGAAAGGGUUCAAGUAGUUAUUUCCUACUCAAGACAUCUCAAGUGUCGCACCCUCAGGGACAUUUGCUGUGAGCUCUCUAAAGUUGAGUUGAAUGCUCCUCUUAUGGGUUCCACACACCACAUGCUUAUUGUUAAUGAGGAAAUAAGCCCAGCUGACAUUAUUGAGCAUCUAAUAUGUUCAUGGCACUAGGCUAAGUGUUUUACAUGCAUUAUCUUAUUCAACCUUUGCCACAAAAUCCUAUAGUAAGCACUUUAAAAAAUUUUUUUAAUGUUUAUUUUUGAGAGAGAGAGACAGACAGAGUGCGAGUGGGGAAGGGGCAGAGAGAGGGAGGCACAGAAUCUGAAGCAGGCUCCAGGCUCUGAGUUAUCAACACAGAGCCUGACACAGGGCUCGAACUCACGAACCGUGAGGUCAUGACCUGAUCCCAAGUUGGACGCUUAGCCGACUGAGUCACCCAGGCGCCUCUAUAGUAAGCACUUUUUAAAAGAUAUUUUUAAGUGUAUUUAUUUGUUUACUUAUUUUGCGACAGUGCGAGAGCACGAGUGGGGGAGGAGCAGAGAGAAAGAGGAGAGAGAAAAUCCCAAGCAGGCUCUGAGCUGUCAGCGCAGAGCCAGGUUCGGGGCUCCAUCUCACCAACAGUGAGAUCACGACCUGAGACAACAUGACCAGAAAUCAAGAUUCGGACGCUCAACCUACUGAGCCACCCAGGCACUCCUAUAAUAAGCACUUUUAUUAUUAUUGCCAUUUUACAGAAGAGGAAACUGAGGGACAGCUCAAGGUAACAGCUGGUAGGUGGCCAAGCCAGGACUAAAAUGCCAAUUUAUCUGAGGCUGGAGUUCUUGCUCUUUUCUUUUCUUUUCUUUUUUAGUUUAUUUAUUUAUUUUGAGAGAGAAAGAGAGAGAGAGAGAGAGAAAGCGUGAGUGGGGGAGGGGCAGAGAGAGAGAGAGAGAGAAUCCUAAGUAGGCUCUGUGCUGUCAGUGCAGAGCCCAAUGUGGGGCUUGAACUUACGAAUGGUGAGAUCAUGACCUGAGCUAAAGGCAGACAACCAACUGGCCCACCCAGGUGCCCAGCCCCUGCUUUUUAAAGUUUAUUUGUUGGAUCUGCUGCUUUUAAGUACUGUGCUUUACUAUUUGCCUCUAAUAGGGUCUUUACCAACACCCUGCUGCAAUGGUCUAGGUAACCCCUGAACCCUAGAAAGUUAGCUCUAUCAUGGGAGGAAGCAGAUCUCCUGUAGAUCCCCCCCCUGCCUAACCAUCUAAAUAAAGCAGGUCCUGGCACAGAAACUGGCAUUAAACGCUCCAGUUGAAAAACAUUCUGAACAAAGAGAAAACAAAACCCUAGGCUUCCACCAGGUGGCGGCGUGGGAGUCCAAGAGAAACGUGCCCUCGGGACUCUUCCUUUCCCACUCCUUUCCCACAGAAUAUCCCAAGCAUUCUCACUGUUUUCUUUCCCUUUCCAGAGAAAAGCGAGUUGGUGGGAGGAACAGUUUUGAGAUAAUGUUCAGGCAUGUAUUGACACACAUCUGACAAUUUAAUUUAUGACCUUAUGCUUUGGCCCCAAAGGGAAGGUUGAUUCUACUCCACUCUUUCAGAUUUAUGCACUUCUUUGAAAGACCUUAAAGUGGUUUGCAGACUCUUGUCACCAACGAAAAGUCAGAAAUAAAAUCUGAAUUGCACAAAUCAUUGAAGAAGGCUGUGCUGUGGAGUAGAAAGUCUCCCUGGCUGGAUUCAGAUGACUCUGCCAUGAACUAAUGGGGGACUUCAGGCAAGUCCCUUCUCUCUGGACCUCCAUAUCCUCAGCUGAAAAAUAAGGAGGUGAGAUGAGGCUUCUAACACAGAAGUUUUCCACCUGUUUACCCCCCCCCCCCCACCCUACCAGCCUCUGUACAAAGGACAUUAUACAGCAGCAUUAUAGCAUGGCAGUAAUAAAGAUUAAGGACUCUGGUUCAAGUUUCAGCUUGGCCACCUACAAGCUCUGGGGUUUGGGGCAAGUUACUUAACCUCUCUGGGCCUGUUUCCUCAUCUGUAUAAUGGGAAUGGUCCUGUACGUCCCUCACAGGGUUCUUGCAAGGACUGAGUGAGGUAUAAAGUCUUAUCCCAGUGCUUGGCACACAGCUAUUCACUGAAUAGCUUUCAGUGAAAACUAUUGUCACACAGAACUGACUUUCACGUUUUAGCAACUCUAUCUACACUUAGUUUGGAUGUGCAUUUAGUAAUCAGAAAAAUAGGGGGAAGGCUUUAAGUAAUAAACCACAGUCAGUCUUGGCCCUUUCAGAAGUGUAAGGGCAAAUGCGUUUCGUGAGUACAAAGCAAGGCUAAAAGUAACCACAAUCAAUUGAAAUCCUCAUACAUUGUUGGUAGGAGUAUACAAGAUACAAACACUUUGGGAAACAGUCUGGCUGUGUCUUCUAAAACUCUUUUUCCUAUGACCCAGCAUUUCUACCCCUAGGUAUUUACCCAAGAAAAAGGAAAACAUAUGUCCACAAAAACACUUGUAUGAAAACAUUCUUAGCAGCUUUACUUUUUAAAAAAAAAGAUUUUAUUUUUAAGCAAUCUCUACACCCACCCAGCAUGGGUGCUCAAAUUCACAACCCUGAGAUCGAGAGUCACAUACACUAUAAGCUCAGCCAGCCAGGCACCCCGCAGAUUUACUUUUAAUAGCAAAAACUGGACUUCCAUCAGCAGGAGAAGGGAGAAUGGAUAAGCAAACUGAGUUAUGAUCACAACAUGGAGUACCACUCGGCAAUCAAAAGGAGUAAACCACUGGGGCGCUUGGGGGGCUCAGUCGGUUAAGCAUCUGACUAUUGAUUUUGGCUCAGUUCACGAUCUCACAGUUCGUGAGAUCGAGCCCCAUCUUGGGCUCUGUGCUGAUAGCACGGAGCCUGCUUGGGAUUCUCUCCCUCUCCCUUUGCCCCUCUCCCCCUUGUGCUCUCUCGCCCUCAAAAUAAAGAAAUAAACAAAUCAAUGAAAGGGGCUAAAUACUGUAUAUACAAUGACAGGGAUGAUUCUCAAAAACAUCAGGCUGAGUAAAAGAACUCUUAUACAAAAGAAUUCAUACUAUAUGUUUCCAUUUAUAUGAAGGUCUGUAACAGGCCAAACCAACCAAUGAUGGGCAAAAAAUCAGAAGAGCGGUUGCCUCUGGGGGUGAAGGGAAGGGAAAAUCUGAGAAGGGAUAAGAGGAAGCCUUCUUGAGAGAUGAUAGUGUUCUAUAUUUUAGUAGGUGGUUAAGUUACACCGUUACAUUUGUCAAAACUCAGCAAAGGUACAAUUAAUGCUUGUGCAUUUCAUCUUAUGUAUAUUUUACCUCAAAAGGAAAACAAGAAUAAGCGCAUAUUGAAUUCAAGUUAAGGAUAGGCAUGUGGAAAGUGUUUAGGAGUGGGGACGUGUACUGGUGUCUGCAGUUUCAAAAAGACAAAAAGACAGUGGACAGACGGAGAGAUGGAUAGCUGAUGGAUGAAUAAAGGCUAGGAUAGGAAAACAUUAGUGGUGGAAUCUAGCCAGUAAGUAACAAGGUAUUCACUGGAAAAUUCUUCCAACUUUGCUGUGUGUUUCAAACAAAAAAUGAAGUUUUUCUUUUUGGAAAAAAAAAUGUAACCACAAGGUUUUGUAUCCUGCAUGGAGUGUUUUUUGGGUUUUUUUUUUUUUUUUACAGAUGUAAAAAGGCUUCAUUGGAGGAAGGCAGACCACAAACCUAGGUAAAUAUUUCCUGAGCACCUGUGAUACACCAGGCACCGUGCCAGACUAGGCCAAGGCUACAAAGAGGAAGAACACAGCACUUGCCCUCGAAGGGUCUGUAGGGACCAUCUGACAAACACACAUGUCACUGUCAUCCUACACUGUGGAGAUGCUAAGGCGAGUGAAAUUUCAUCUAGUAGAAAAAGCGUCUUAAUUAUUCUUACCACAAAAAAAGAAGUGAUAAGUAUGGAACGUGAUUGACGUGUUAGGUAACACGACAGUGGCAAUCAUAUUGCAAUAUAUAAAUAUAUCGAAUCAACACACUAUAUACCUUGAACUUACAUAAGGUUAUAUGUCAAUUAUAGCUCAAUUAAAAAAUAGUAACUAAAAAAGGAAAAGUGCCUGGCAUUGAAGACAUGUGGGUAGUUAUUGCUGCAAAUAUGAUUGGAAGGCAUUUCCAAGCCAGAACCCACAGAGAGUCUCUCGAAGGCCACACUGAGGUGAUAAUUUGGCAAUCCAGUGGGGCCCAUUCAAGAAUUUUAAGGCAACAAGUAACAUCCUUGGAAAAUUGCUGGGAGAAAGGGGGUAGCCGCAAUAGAUAUCUUUGCUUUAGGGGGGUUGGCAGGCAAGGGAGCUUUUCAUGUACCUUCGAUGAGCAGAGGGAACUGAUGGAAGCUCCCAUGGGGAGGAGGGAAGUUCAGAAUGACCCAGGGCACAAAGGGAUGAGAUUCUGGUUUCACCUUCAUGGAAACAGGCAGCUGUUUAGUCUAUGCCCCUCUCUUCCUCCUUUGCUCCAUGAUGUUGUGGCUCUGUAAGGCUAUAAUGGUUAUUUAUAGCUCGCAUCUAUUCUUUUUUUUUUAAGUUUUUAUUUAUUUAAGUAAUCUCUACAUAUACAAUAUGGGGAUCCAACUCACAACCCUGAGACCAAGAGUUUCAUGCUCCUGUUAGUGGGAAUGCAAACUGGUGCAGCCACUCUGGAAAACAGCAUGGGGGUUCCUCAAAAAAUUAAAAAUAGAACUACCCUACAAUCAAGCAAUUGCACUACUAGAAAUUUAUCCAAAGGAUUAAAAAAUGCUGAUUGGAAGGGGCACAUGCACCCCAAUGUUUAUAGCAGUGCUAUGAACAAUAGCCAAAUUAUGGAAAGAGCACAAAUGUCCACUGACUGAUGAAUGGAUAAAGAAGAUGUGGUGUAUAUAUACACAAUGGAAUAUUACUCAGUGAUGAAAAAGGAUGAAAUCUUGCCAUGUGCAACAACGUGGAUGGAACUGGAGGGUAUUAUGCUAAGGGAAAAAAGUCAGUCAGAGAAAGUCAGAUAUCAUAUGAGUUCACUCAUGUAGAAUUUGAGAAACACAACAGAUGAAUAUAGGGGAAAAGAAGGAAAAAUAAGAUAAAAACAGAGACGGAGGCAAACCAUAAAAGACUCUUAAAUACAGAGAACAAACUGAGGGUUGAUGGGGGUGGGUUAAACGGGUGACUGGGCAUUAAGGAGGGCAUUUUUGGGAUGAGCACUGGGUGUUGUAAGAGAUGAAUCACUGGUUUCUAUUCCUGAAGUCAAGACUACACUGUAUGUGAACUAGAGAUUUAAAAAAAAAAAAAAAGUUUUGUGCUUUUCUGACUGAGCCAGCCAGGCGCCCCUGGCCAGCAUCUAUUCUGAUUGUUAGUCUACUCUGAAUGGUCAGUUCCCAAGACAUAAUGAUGUUAAAUAUUUUUUAAAAAAUUUUAAUGUUUGUUUAUUUUUGAGAGAGAGAAAGAGUGCGAGCGGGGCAGGGGCAGAGAGAGGAGACACAGAUUCUGAAGCAGGGUCCAGGCUCUGAGCUGUCAGCACAGAGCCCCAUGCGGGGCUAGAACCCAUGAACGAUGAGAUCAUGACCUGAGCUGAAGUUGGACACUUAACCGACUGAGCCACCCAGGUGCCCUGCUGUUAAAUAUUUUUAACAUCACUCCUACCCACCUCAUAGGGUUGCUGCAAGGUUAAUUAAUAUAAUGUAUGUAAUCUGCCCAGCACAUGCUAAGUCUUCAAUAGAUGAGGUCAGGGAACCAUAUCUGAUGCUCCAGUUUGUGGCUUGGAUAUAGGGUGACCUCAGCACAAGCCCACCAAGACCCCCAAUAGUCUCUAAAGAAGGCACUUGAAGCCCCUGAGGCCCAUUCCAACCCACACAUAUUGUGAUCUUUAUCAAACCCAUCUCCACCCCACCCCCCACCCAAAUACCAUGCAUAUUCCUAUGGAACAACUGAGAAGCCCCAGUUGGACCCAGUCAGUCUCUCAUUUAUUCUCCUCUGUCUUUUGAGAAUGGAUCUGCUGUGGCGGCUGGCAGGCCACACCCUCAAGAUGGUGCCACCAGGAGCACAUAGGGCAGUUUGCCAAAAAGGGCCCGUUAUGGGUUUGCCGGCCUUCUGGACUCUAACAGGGCUUACCAUCUGUGCCCGUCCUUUGGCAAAAUUACUUCCCUCUGUCGACACACUCGAUUGCCAUCCAGGAAAUAAACAGCCCUGACACCAUGCUCCAGCCCCCUGGGAACUGAAUCCAACACGUCCAGCACUUGGCAUUGAAGUGAAGCAAUGAAGUCUAUCAGAACUCUGGGCCGUCUAAGCUUCUCCAGCGGCUGCCAGGGGCUGCUCACUCCACGGAGCCAGCGGGCUUGCCCUCGCUGCCAGGCGGGCGGCGGCAGUUCCAGCUUCCUGUUGCCUUAGGGACCGAGACAAAGAAAAAUGAAGAGACCCCAGACAUCUUUCCCCUCCCUCCCUCUUGCAGCAGGGAGCUAGCAGGACACUAGGACCAGUCUGUGGGCUAGAAUGGACUUCAUGGGGACUGAAGGGGGAGGGAAGCUGCAAGGGGAGGGGAAGAUCUAUGACCCUAACUGUAUGCCUUUCUUGCAUCCCGCUGUCAUCCCAAAAGUAACUGGCCUGAUUUUUAGCAGCGUGGCCAUCUUCUGGUGUGGGUAACCGUCCCUGGGUGUGUCACCUCCAUACCUCCAAAUGCCUCCCCUGUAUCGAUUCAGUUGCCAUUGCAGCUGUGUGUUUCAUGUAUGGAACAGGAGGCUCAGACGUUUCCCUCCCCUGUAACCUGGGGAUUAUCAGAGGCAGGUAAUAAAGAUUGUUUAAGCAAUAGCCUAAGACUCUUCUCUCAACAAUCCCAGCCUUGAGACCCAGUACUAUACAGAAAAGGAAUCUUUUUGCUUUUGAAAAUGAUGUUUAGAUUUGAGGGUUGGAUUGUUGCAAUAUUUAGAUCUAUAUAUUCAAUUCCAAUACCACAGAUGUGAUUGUGGGUGAAGAAAAGGUUGAUAUGGUUAAAUGGGUUUUAUUUUUUUUCAGCUGUUUCAAAAGUUGUAACUGCUUUCUUCUCUUUUUUUUUUUUCUCUUUAAUUCUGAACCACUUUGAAAUACCACGGUGCU